UACGUAGGGUGCGAGCGUUGUCCGGAAUUAUUGGGCGUAAAGAGCUUGUAGGCGGUUUGUCGCGUCUGCCGUGAAAUUUCGGGGCUCAACCCCGAACUUGCGGUGGGUACGGGCAGACUAGAGUGUGGUAGGGGAGACUGGAAUCCCUGGUGUAGCGGUGAAAUGCGCAGAUAUCAGGAGGAACACCGAUGGCGAAGGCAGGUCUCUGGGCCACUACUGACGCUGAGAAGCGAAAGCAUGGGGAGCGAACAGG
rnacentral:rRNA from 1 species